rnacentral:misc_RNA from 1 species
AAAAUAUUGAAUGGCUGGGAUUCUUCAUUGCUGGUGAAAUUUGAAAAAAUUGGAGAUUUUCAUCUUGAACUAUGAUUAUAAUGGCAGUCAUUAACUUUAAAAAUGACAGUCACCAGUUUUUGUUAUUUGCUGGAGAUCUCUCAUACUUCAGUUUUAUUUAUUUACGUUGUAUAUGGGUAAUUCCUCUGAAACAUUCACUCAACCUCCACGAGGAAGGAUGAAGUU